rnacentral:rRNA from 1 species
UACAGGGGGUGCGAGCGUUAUUCGGAUUUAUUGGGCGUAAAGAGCGUGUAGGUGGUCUGUUAAGUCUGAUGUGAAAUCCCUGGGCUCAAUCCAGGAAGUGCAUUGGAUACUGAUAGACUAGAGUGUAGGAGAGGUAAGCGGAAUUCCCGGUGUAGAGGUGAAAUUCGUAGAUAUCGGGAGGAACAACAGAGGCGAAGGCGGCUUACUGGACUACUACUGACACUAAGGCGCGAAAGCAUGGGGAGCAAACAGG